rnacentral:rRNA from 1 species
UGAAUACGAGACGCUAAGGCGUCGAAGUAGUGUAUGUCAUACUUCCAAGAAAAGCUUGCACUGUCAUAGAUAAAAAACGCCUGUACCAUAACCGACACAGGUGGGUAGGUAGAGUAUACUAAGGGGCGCGAGAUAACUCUCCCUAAGGAACUCGGCAAAAUAACUCCGUAACUUCGGGAGAAGGAGUGCCUUAUUCGUAAGGUUGCAAUAACAAGAUCCAAGCAACUGUUUAUCAAAAACACAGGUCUCCGCUAAGUCGUAAGACGAUGUAUGGGGGCUGACGCCUGCCCAGUGCCAGAAGGUUAAAGAAGUUGGUUAGCAAUUGCGAAGCUGAUAACUGAAGCCCUGGUGAACGGCGGCCGUAACUAUAACGGUCCUAAGGUAGCGAAAUUCCUUGUCGGGUAAGUUCCGACCCGCACGAAAGGCGUAAUGAUUUGGAUACUGUCUCGGAGAGGGGCUCGGUGAAAUAGACUUGUCUGUGAAGAUGCGGACUACCUGCACCAGGACAGAAAGACCCUAUGAAGCUUUACUGUAACUUGAAAUUGAAAUUGGACUUUAUUCGCGCAGUAUAGGUGGGAGGCGUUGAUUAUAAUCUUGUGGGAUUAUUGGAGCCAUCAGUGAGAUACCACUCUUGUAAUGUUAGAUUUCUAACUUUGAAUCAUUAUCUGGUCAAAGAACAGUUUCAGGCGGGCAGUUUGACUGGGGCGGUCGCCUCCUAAACGGUAACGGAGGCGUACAAAGGUUUCCUCUGAACGGUUAGAAAUCGUAUCUAGAGUGUAAAGGCAUAAGGAAGCUUGACUGUGAGACCUACAAGUCGAGCAGGGACGAAAGUCGGUCUUAGUGAUCUGACGGUACUGAGUGGAAAGGCCGUCACUCAACGGAUAAAAGCUACUCUAAGGAUAACAGGCUGAUCUCCCCCAAGAGUUCACAUCGACGGAGAGGUUUGGCACCUUGAUGUCGGCUCAUCGCAUCCUGGGGCGGUAGUACGUCCCAAGGGUUGGGCUGUUCGCCCAUGAAAGCGGUACGCGAGCUGGGUUCAGAACGUCGUGAGACAGUUCGGUCCAUAUCCGGUGUAGGCGUUAGAAUAUUGAGAGGAGCCUUCUUUAGUACGAGAGGACCGAGAAGGACAUACCUCUGGUGUACCAGUUAUCGUGCCAACGGUAAACGCUGGGUAGCUAUGUAUGGAGUGGAUAACCGCUGAAAGCAUCUAAGUGGGAAGCCCACCUCAAGAUAAGUAUUCUCAC